GGGGCUGAUUCUGGAUUCGACGGGAUUUGCGAAACCCAAGGUGCAUGCCGAGGGGCGGUUUGCCUCGUUAAAAGCCGCAAAAAAAUAGUCGCAAACGACGAAAACUACGCUUUAGCAGCUUAAUAACCUGCUCUGAGCCCUCUCUCCCUAGCUUCCGCUCUUAAGACGGGGAUCAAAGCGCCAGCUCCACCAAAUAUUGAUGUACUGAAGUUCAGUAAAGUCUACUAAGCCCGCACAGCACAAGCUCUGCGGGCUUUUUUACGUCUAUUGUAGUCUAGUGAGAAUUGCUGAGAACUUCGAGUUAUGGCACCCUGAAUGGGACCCACGA
rnacentral:tmRNA from 1 species